UGCUCUCUUCUCUCUAUCUUAAUUCACCCCCAAUGUUCCUCUUUCUUUGUUUCCCAAAGCAUAACUAAUGAGAGGCUAAGAUGUUUCAUACCGAAGGGUCAGGGACACCAGAUAGUUAAUAUCAGCAUAUCACAGAAUGCACCGACUUGAUGUGGCUGUUUUGUGAGCAAUCCUUGCCUUGUGGCCCCCUGACCAUCCCUCUACAGGGAGUAACUCCUGACUGCCUUCCUUCCAAGGUCCAAUCCACUCCUGCCAGUUGACCUUUGUGUCCCAAGCUCCGUCAAUUUUCUUCUUCGCAUCACAAGCCCCCUCCAAACAAACAAGACAAAAACUCCAAUCACUACAGAGCAGAGCGCUCUGCCUUUCUCCUUCCCACUGUGCCCUGGGGCCUAUAUUUUCACACACACAAAGAGAUCCUCUGAAGUAUGUUUCUAAACAAAAAGGCCACCUACCCCUACGAAGAACUUGGCCUCUGCCUGAGAGUGCUGCAGCCACUGCAGUCAAAUUUUGUUUUAAAUAACAGCAUCUUUUCUUCUUGUUACUCAAUUCUAACUUAGGCUUCUGGGCUGGGGCCCCGGGGGUCACUUGUCUAUUCCAAACUUUCCUAGGAGUCAUUGAGGCUGGGCACUGUUUUUCACAAUGACUUCUGCUCUCAUUUGGUGCUUAGCACACUGCUGGGCACAGGUGCUGCUGCAGAUGGCUCUCAUGCUCUGUGCCACAUCCUGGGCCCUCCUGACAUCAGCACUGCAGUGAGCAGUGCCAGGCCCAUCACCAGGGUCUCACUUCUGGCAGGCAGCCUGCAACCUCUGCUUUUUUGAUUCGGAGCUUUCUUUGAGCUGUGGGAGUCUAAUCAGCCAUGCAGAGGCACAGUCUGGAAGAGCAGAAGGGUUAACACACUCAAGGAUGAACCCUCUACCAGCAGGGGAUGCUGUGGGGAUCCACGCCCAAUCUCUAGUCCUUCAGAGGGGCAGUUCUGAGCUCCAUGCUCCCCUGCUCUCCAGAGACUGCUCGAAGAAUUUCACAACACUGCGUUGGCCCUGCAGAUUGGGCCCCCAUUUCCCACAGGGCUGCACCCUGUCACUGGCUUCCUCCUGCUCCGUUGCUCCUGUUCCCUGAGGUCACCUCUCAAAUCAACUACUUGCACCCAAGUCAUUGUUCAGGGUCUGCUUUAAGAGACACCCUAACUAGGACAGGAAUUCAGCGGCUGCGGGUUUAGUAUCUUCAGUGACAAGUCGUGGGACCAGGCUGGGGCCUGCCGGCUGCCUGUUGGUGCAGAGCCGCUCUUCAGAGCUUUGCUGACAAUCCUCUGCCUUCCUUACCCCCAUUUUUGUGGGGGCAAGUGGCCAGUGGGAUGGAUCUGCUCUUUCUCAUCUGGGAUGUGAUGUUAGAUGUCUCAACUCCAGAAAGCUCUACUCACCUGGGGAAAGUCUUUUGCCAGCCUGAAAAGCCAGAAAGUCCUCCCCGUGUGACAAGGAGCAAAUGACUUCAGUGUCAUAUAACUGCCCCAAACUCCAGAAGAACCAGGGUCUGAGGUGUCUCAUCUUUUCAGACUGAGGUGUUAAGAGCUGCAUUACUCAUUGCUAUUGCCUGGUGCUUGCCUGGUUAGGAGCUGCAGAGGAAAGUCAAUGUUUUGACAAGUUGACGAAGGCCUAGAGCCAGAAUGGCUGUAAAACUCUGCCAAUGGGUGCCCUAAGAAUUCCAGAACACUGCAUUUGACACCUAAUUUCCUCCAGAAUGAGCUGUCUGUUGGAGCCGGGGGCCUGCUGGAGUCAUAAAUCCUACCAGGAAAGUGGCUCUGCAUCUGUCCAUCUGAUGCCUUUAAAACAGUGAAGCUCCUCUUUGUCCAGUCUCUGGAGAUUCCCAUGGCAAUCCCACUCCCUGCAGAAGCUGUCACAUCUGGGAACCUUCCUCUACCUUCCCUGAAUUUCAUCUCUCACACCCUAGAGCAACCAUGACUAGAUGGUCUCAGGAUCUCCAGAUCUGGCCACCACAUUGAAUCAGAACAUCGCAGUUCCUUAGCAAAUAUCAGCCACUGCGUACCCUGCAUUCGUCGACUCUAAUCCUUAUACCCAGUCCUGGGAGGUGUGCAUUGCUAGACUCAAUGUAUAAGUGGGGAAAAUGAGACUCAGAGGGGGUGAGUGGUUUGUCUGAGGUUACACAGCCAGUACUCAGUGAAGCUUCUAGGCAGUCCCAGGCCACUGACUCCACAUCCAGUGUUUCCUCCAUCAGAACAUAUUUUCUUGGAGGAGAUGGUGCUUGUAGUGACUGAUAGAAGAUGAAGUGGGUGACAUGGAUGUGCAGGCAUUUAAGUACUGCUCAUGGGUAGAGACACUGUAUAUCCACCGAGACACAAACUCACCUGGGCUGAAGGUUCUUGCUCGUUUGGGACUGACUAGAAUGUAUGAGGUUUCAGUGCCUUGGCCCUGCCCUGGGCUGUCCGUCAGCCUCCUACCCCACAUGGCUUCCCAUGAGCAGCUGGGCACAGGUGCUGCUGCAGAUGGCUCUCAUGCUCUGUGCCACAUCCUGGGCCCUAGUGUCCUGGACACUAGACAAUAGUGUUUUGGUUGUUUUUUGUUUUGUUGUUGUUGUUGUUAUUGUUUUAGAGACAGGGUUGCCCAGGCUAGAGUGCAGUGAUGCAAUAAUAGUUCCCUACAGCCUCAACCUCCCGGGUUGAGAGGCAAGUGAUCCUCUUGUCUCACCCUCUCAAGUAGCUGGGACUACAGCUACAUGCUACCAUGCCCAGCCAUUUUCAAAAAUUUUGGAGAGAUGGGGUCUUGCUAUGUUGCCCAGGCUGGCCUCCAACUUUUGGGCUCAAGUGAUCCUCCUCCCUCAGCCUCCCAAAGUGCUGGGAUGACAGGCAUGAGUCACCGUGCUGGGUGAGUAUUCUGGUUUCUUUCAGCCUCCAGGGUUAGCCCUGGGAGAGACACAUAUUUGGGGUCUGGUGGCAUAUAGCUGAAAGAUUUCACCAGAAACAAGGGCCCCUGAGCUGAGGACCAGAAUUUGGUCCAAUCAUGGUGACUCCAAUGGAAAGGGGCUCCCUUUUUCCCAUCUCAGAGGCCUUGCCAGGCUGCCAGUUAGACCCGCAACAUACUUUGGAAGCUGUCACCUAGGCAACUGAAGGUGUGAAUUUCCUCUCCUGUAGCACACACCUUAGACCAGGCUUCCCUCCUCCACGAGGAAGCAGGCAUGUUUCUUAAUGUCGGAGCUUGGAGGAGGGACAAGUGUUGGGGCCAUGCAGAGCCUCUGCUCUCUGCUCCAUGACAGCCAUUCAGAAACAGAUCCUGGGUUGGAAGCUUCAUUGCACAACCCACGUCACAGCCAAUGUUUUCCUGUCAAGAGACGUUGACCAUUUGUCUGAUCACAGAGGCAUUUUUCCUACAGUCCUGAAUUAAUGCAAUCCAACUCCUUAUCAGCACCUGCCAGUCUGCAUGCCCUUAGACUCCUGCCCUGCAACUUGUCCCCUUGCUCAGCACUCCAGCCACGUUGACCUCUGUGGCAUGGCACCACCCGCCAAGCCAGUUGGUUCCCAGGUCCACACACAGGGGGCUCCUUCUCUCACUGCGCUCUCUCCUUGAGGCCCCUUCUAAAUCUCCUCCCUGUCCAUUGCUCCCUGUCUAACAUCUCCUCCUGCUUCUGGCUCUCUAUCCCAUGACCAUGCCAUUUCCUUCCAGCAUGACCAUUGUCUGAAAUUGUCUUAUCUGUGAGUGUACUUGUCCAUUGUUUGCUUUGCCUUAUUAAAAUGCAAAUGGCUACAUUCAGGGGUGUAUCUGCAUCCCCAAGCACAGUGUCCCGGCCCAUAGAACAUUUGUUACAUGAAUGAAUUCCUAACAGGAAAUAAGACUGUAGCUUCCAGAAACUCCAUCUGAAAUUCACAGUAAGUUGAUAAUGACUUUAAAUGAUCACUUACCUAAUAUGGUACAGCUGGUCUUCCCUUCGUCACUGUUUCCCUGCUUUCCCUAAGAGCUCUCUCUCUUGCUUUCUUCUUGUCCUCCCUCUCUUUCCUUUCUCCUUGGCUCCUCCCACUCUCCUCCCUCCUUCCCUUUCUACCUGCCUCCUGGGAAGCAACUAAUCUGGUAGGCCGACAGGGGAAACUAUCCCACCUGGUUUGCCCACACUCACCAUCGUAAUGAUGAAGAAGUCUUUAGAGGGGACUAGAGGAGAUUGCGUCCACCCAAGGAGUCCUGAGACAGGCCUGGAGCACAGGACAGCCCCUGGGAUUCUCCAAGACAGCCCAUCACUUCUGGGAUUCAGAAUCACUGUAGCUUGCAGGGUGCUUGUCAAGGGGAUGCUUCAGUAGAAAGUGGAAAUGCUGUCUCCCGAAUUUGCUGAACGAUGAUGUUCUGAGGAGACCUGCACUUGAGAACAAAAGUGACUACUCUUUUGUCCUAAUCUUAAAUCCCAUCACCUUGGCUGCAACUGCUGAGUGCUGGUAAUGAGUGUUGAGAGGCAAUCCGAGGAUGGUGAUUAGGUAUUAAGCCUGGGCAGGUAUUAACCGAGAGGUGUGUGGACCUUUCGCUCAGCACCACAAGAGCAGAUCUCUGCCAGCAAGCUUAUCUGGCCAUCAGCCAGGGACAGAGCUGCACUGUGGCAAAGUGAAAUGUGAUUUUAAUGAUUCUGAGCACAUGGUUUCUGCCUCCAGCAUGCUAGAUUUGUAGACUGGCAUUUUUUUUCCCUUGGGUAGAUUCCAGAUGUUGUAUAACUUGUGCCUUUCUAAGUUACAGCAUGGUAGAUGGGGACUUGUCUUUGUUAUGAGCAUGUACAAUGUGGGUCGCAGUUAAGCACUGUCAAAUAGCCUCCUAAAAGAUGAGUUUGUGUGGAAUAAAGCACUGAAAAAG
rnacentral:lncRNA from 1 species